UACGGAGGGUGCAAGCGUUAUCCGGAUUCACUGGGUUUAAAGGGUGUCGUAGGCGGGCAGGUAAGUCCGUGGUGAAAUCUCUGAGCUUAACUCAGAAACUGCCAUGGAUACUAUUUGUCUUGAAUAUUGUGGAGGUAAGCGGAAUAUGUCAUGUAGCGGUGAAAUGCUUAGAUAUGACAUAGAACACCAAAUUUGCGAAGGCAGCUUACUAUACAGUAAUUACGCUGAGGCACGAAAGCGUGGGGAUCAAACAGG
rnacentral:rRNA from 1 species